rnacentral:rRNA from 1 species
UACGAAGGGAGCUAGCGUUGUUCGGAAUCACUGGGCGUAAAGGGUGCGUAGGCGGCUUUUUAAGUCAGGGGUGAAAUCCUGGAGCUCAACUCCAGAACUGCCUUUGAUACUGGGAAGCUCGAGUCCGGGAGAGGUGAGUGGAACUCCGAGUGUAGAGGUGAAAUUCGUAGAUAUUCGGAAGAACACCAGUGGCGAAGGCGGCUCACUGGCCCGGUACUGACACUGAGGUGCGAAAGCGUGGGGAGCAAACAGG